rnacentral:rRNA from 1 species
GAGCGGCGAACGGGUGAGUAAUGCUUCGGAAUCUACCUAGUAGUGGGGAACAACUAACCGAAAGGUUAGCUAAUGCCGCAUACGACACGGGUGAAAGCGGGGGAUCGCAAGACCUCGCGCUAUUGGAUGAGCCGAAGUCGGAUUAGCUAGUUGGUAGGGUAACGGCCUACCAAGGCGACAAUCCGUAGCUGGUCUGAGAGGACGACCAGCCACACUGGGACUGAGACACGGCCCAGACUCCUACGGGAGGCAGCAGUGGGGAAUAUUGGACAAUGGGGGAAACCCUGAUCCAGCGACGCCGCGUGUGUGAAGAAGGCCUGCGGGUUGUAAAGCACUUUUAGUGGGGAUGAAAAGCCCAGGGCUAAUACCCUUGGGUCUUGACCUAACCCAAAGAAAAAGCACCGGCUAACUCUGUGCCAGCAGCCGCGGUAAUACAGAGGGUGCGAGCGUUAAUCGGAAUUACUGGGCGUAAAGCGUGCGUAGACGGUUUCGUAAGUCGGGUGUGAAAUCCCCGGGCUCAACCUGGGAAUUGCAUUCGAGACUGCGAGGCUAGGGUGCGGAAGAGGGAAGCGGAAUUUCCGGUGUAGCGGUGAAAUGCGUAGAUAUCGGAAGGAACAUCAGUGGCGAAGGCGGCUUCCUGGUCCAGCAC